rnacentral:lncRNA from 10 species
AAUAGGUACACAGGCAUUGUGUACUGCUCAGACUGGCAGCACUACUUGAAGUUGCUGUCAUUAAUUAUUAAAUUAUUAAAUUAAAAUCAACUAAUUAGUACAAAGUAUCAAUGUAUAGUUAAAAAGUCUACUUUGUUAAGCAAAACAGAUGUCUGAUUUUUAGAAGAAAAUGCCACUAAUGCCCGGUAGAAGUAGUUAAACUGUGAGUGGAUUGAAGGGAGCUGGAGUUUUGCUGAAGUCUGACUCUCCUAUUUUUGUUAUAGAACGCAGAACUUUUAGAAACACAGAUACUUGGAAAGGUGGUACCAAAUGAGAGACUGCUGCUAGUGUACUGAUAUUCAAGAGAAGAAAAUGAAAAGCAAAAAAGAAGAGACCUAUAAGGAUGGUAACAGCAGAGCUUCCUAUCCAUUUCCUAUCUAUCAGCACUAUCUACUCUCCCCUCUCUCAAAGGCCUCUACCACUCUGUGGCACUAAGCUAAUUUUCAACAUUCUUUUCUCACUACAUGUUUGAAGUACAUAGGGAAUAUUACAGAGUCCAAAAUCUUGUAAUUUGGGCUUUUAAAACUAAGUUUUGGGUAUAGGUUGCUUUUUCAUAAAAGGACAGCUGAGCACUCUCUUCUAAAAAUCAUUUUCUUCUUAGCUUCCAUGACACCUCUCUGCUGGUUUUCUUCUAUCACAAAGACCUCUUCAUUUCCUUUGCUGGCUCUUCUUCCUCUGGCUGGCUUUUCUGGGGCUUCCUUCCAUUGUUUACCACAUACUCUCCCAGUCACAUGCUUUACAUUCCACUUAAAACCAAUGAUGCCCAAAUCUUUAUAUUCAGUCCUACUCUUUGACCUCAGGACGAUAAGUGCCUCAUUAACAGCUCUACCUGGGAUGUCUCGUAGGCAUAUCUGAAAUUAGCACAACAAAAUGCUUCAUUUUUCUCUCCAAAUCCUCAGCCAUCUUAGUAACUGGCACUACUUAUCUGUCAUUUUGCUUAGGUCAAAGAAUCUAAGCUAUCUCUGAUUCUGCUCUUUAACUCCAAUGUCCGCAUUCAAAGUACCAAGCAAGUCUUACCAUCUAAGUUCAAAAUGUAUCUCAAAUCCAUCCUUGCCAGUCCAACUCCAUUACUAUCACUGCUGUACAAACAUCAUUCCUCACUUGUGCCCACUUAUCUCCUGUACCAAAGGAUUUACAAAAUGUAAAAUAUUUAGGUCACCUCUUUGUUUAAAACCCUCAGAACAGCUUCUUAUAACAUUCUGAUGAAAACACACUCUGCUGUGUAAUGUAAGUAAGCCUCUGCUUACUUCCUACCCUCAUUGUAUGGCAUUCCUCUUUCCCCACCAGGCAUUAAGCCACUUACCUUCUCUUAGUCCCUCAAAUAUAUCAAGCUUAUUCUCACUAUAGGUCUCUAAGAGCUCUUCCCUCUGCCUAGGAUAUUCUUUCCUUUGAUAUUCACAUGGUUGGCUCUUUCUUGUAAAUCAGAUUUCAGCUUAAUUUCACUUCCUCAGCGAGGAUUUCAUGAGCCCGUCCCCACAGUAUCUCUCUCACGUAUCAUAUUCUUCUAUCUCAUACUCUUUUGUACUCUUAAGACUUAGAAAAGUGCCUGCAUAGAGUUGCUUCAUACAUACACACUAGCUGAAAGCAUGAAACAGUGAAAGUAUGCAAAUACUUAUUUGGUUAUGUCUUAAUUAAUUAAUCCGAACCACAGACCAAAGCUAUCUUCACCCAAACUACUUUCACAUUCAGAACAAACAAACAAACAAACAAAAACUUAUUCGUCAUCGUAGGCUUGGAGCACAUAAAAUGUUAUUUCUGAAUCAUUACUAGGGGAGCCUUCCUAUCAGAGAAGGUACCUCGUUUUAAGAGUCAGGAAAAUUCUGGGAAGGGGUUACUGAAACCUACAAAUGAUGAUGUUUUCAUUUUUCUUUCACCUUUCCCUAAGAAAAUGCCUUCAAAGGUCAUAGCUCACAUUUAUACUGAGGGCCCCUAAAUUACUUUGCUGAUAUUGUUGGCAUUACUCUUUGAAAAUAAUCUCUGUUAACCAUUUUCUCUUGGUUGAUCUGUUUCUUGUUUGGAUACUACUUCUAUUUUCCUUAAUUCGCCUCUUCUUUCUCUUUUCUUCUCAAUUUGCAUUAAUAGCAGAGUUUGGCUUUAAAAGCUAUCAAAAGAAUCUUUAUUAAUGAGUCAUUUAUGUUGUCAUAUUAUUAUUUUUUCAUUGCAGCUAGUGCUUGGAGAGGCUUUUUCUGUUAUUACCAGAUUUGGCUGAUUUGGAAGUAACUAUUAUCAAAGAUAACAGAAAUCACCAUACUUUGGUCUCUCGUAUUUCAUAUUGUAGCUUAAGGAAGUCAAACAGAAAUUUGAGCUUAUAUUUCUUUUUUUUUUUUUUUUUUUAAGACGGAGUCUUGCUCUGUUG